GAUGAACGCUGGCGGCGUGCUUAACACAUGCAAGUCGAACGAAGCACUUUGGACAGAUUCUUCGGAUGAAGUCCUUAGUGACUGAGUGGCGGACGGGUGAGUAACGCGUGGGUAACCUGCCUCAUACAGGGGGAUAACAGUUAGAAAUGGCUGCUAAUACCGCAUAAGCGCACGGUGCUGCAUGGUACAGUGUGAAAAACUCCGGUGGUAUGAGAUGGACCCGCGUUGGAUUAGCUAGUUGGCAGGGUAACGGCCUACCAAGGCGACGAUCCAUAGCCGGCCUGAGAGGGUGGACGGCCACAUUGGGACUGAGACACGGCCCAGACUCCUACGGGAGGCAGCAGUGGGGAAUAUUGCGCAAUGGGGGAAACCCUGAUGCAGCGACGCCGCGUGAGCGAAGAAGUAUUUCGGUAUGUAAAGCUCUAUCAGCAGGGAAGAAAAUGACGGUACCUGACUAAGAAGCCCCGGCUAACUACGUGCCAGCAGCCGCCGUAA
rnacentral:rRNA from 1 species